rnacentral:lncRNA from 1 species
AAUGAAAAAUGGCUGAUUAUUUACUAGUCAGCCCCAAUAAAUUUAACAGAUGGCUUUUUAGCAGAAACAAUGAAGACUAAAAAGUGGGAUAACAUACUCAGUGUUCAAAAAACAAAACAAAACUUGUCAACUAAGAAUUCAAUCUCAGGGAUUUUAAAAUUGUCUUCAUUUAAAAUAAUCAAAAACUGGAGGCCAGACGUGGUGGCUCAAGCCUGUAAUCCCAGCACUUUGGGAGGCU